UUUUAAGAUUACUCUGCAAACCAGUAAAUAAUAACGAAGCAAAAUCAAAAUCCCAAUUCUUAACUAAGAUUUAAGAUUACUAUGCAAUUCCAAUUCCCAAUUGAAAAUGGAAAGAAUAAAGGAUAAAUGAAAAUCCAGAAGCAAAAUCAACAAUCAAUUUCAUCAUCAACAACCAAACAGGAGACAAAUUAAUACACAAAACACAAUAAUUAAUCAUUAAAAAAUCAAAACAAAUAAUUAAAAUACAAAGCCUGAGAUUGAAGCGCUGCUAAGCGCCAAAGCCAGAGAUGCUGGUCACAGGAGAUGCUGCAAUUUUGCUUGAGGCUGAGAGAGAGUGAGAGAGUGAGAGAGACUGUGUUGACGAUUGAUGAAUGUCUGAGAUGCUGCGAUGCAAGGAUCUCAAGUGCAAGAAAUCGGGCAUGGAAAUCUUGUGGAAAACGCUCUCGGCAUCCUAUAAAUAGUCACUCCAUGCUCUUAUCUACUUUGUAUCAUACAUAGGCUAAAUGGUUGAGCAUUCUUUGUGACAUCAAUCUUUUGGACCUUUGCAAGGGUGGAAGAAGCGAGCGGAAAAUGUUCCUAAAUCUUUAGAAAACGAUCUAGCAUGUACAGAAAUCUUGCUCUGCAUGUCAAAUAAGUCAAUCCCUUUGUCCAAGAAAACAUUUUUAUUAAAACCAAAAAAUCUUCUGCUGGUUUCUUUUUGGAAAACAGAAAUGUGAGGUGCAAAAUUGUUCCAUUCAUCACCAGCAACAUCUUUUCCAGAAAGAAGACCACUAGAUCGGGCAAACAUCAAUGCACAACGGCUUGUUGCCACAAUGGCUGGACAAAGAAUGCAUGAAAUUUCAAGACUCAAAACUUCAGUGAAUCACGUGAAUAUGUAAACAACAGCAAUAACAAGCAAACAUGGAAAUUAUAUGUGAGUUCAAGCCAUAUGAAAAGCAGUGAAUGACUUUUAUGUGCUGAUUAGCAACAGUGAACAAUCUCAUUAAGGAGUACACAGUUCUUCCCUUAAUUAAAAACUAGUUGGGGCAAGUUAAACCAACCAUUUUCCUCGAAGAAUGAAUCACACAGUUGAAGUAAACAUCAAAAUAAAAUAAAGAAGAAGGUACCAUUAUAAGGAACUUCAAAGACAUAAUUAGCAGGAAGACCAAUUCCAAAACCAGCCAGAGUAAUGCCCACACUAAAUCCAACACCACAGCCAGCACCAACAUAACCAAUAACUUCAGGACCAAACCCAGGACCCCAUCCAACACCACAGCCAAUGCCUAGUCCCAUGCCCCAAAAGGUUCCAAAAGUGGGAUGUACAGGAUUCCAUCUUUGAUAUCUCCUGAACAACCCUUUUAUGAUCAUUGGGACCU
rnacentral:misc_RNA from 1 species